GAAUGUGGGGGUGAUCUGGCUCCAACAGCUGUCACCCAAUUAAUCUCCAGGGUCACCUUAUUGAUGGCCAAGGUAGAUUCAACUGAUCUGGUUGGCCUCCUAUGUGGUGUCCCCUUUCCCCCUUCACACCUCUGAGGAUGGCCUUCUUUUCUCAAGGAGGACAGGUCUUCAGUCAGGGGCACCCCAAUAACUGUGCCUCCCUCCUAGAACCUCCAAACAAGUUCUCUCAAAAGAAUACAUUUAUUGUAUGGCCAUCCCACUCUACAGACAAUGGAUCUCGUCAAAAAGUAAUACAUAUAUUUAAAGAAUUUU
ensembl:misc_RNA 7SK 7SK RNA